UUACAUGAUCUAGCUGGUCACCUGGCCGCCCAAGGCUGGCUGCCGUGGCUGAUUCAGCCACUCGGACAGAAGCCUCACACAGGUCAGCCCUUCAUCAGGAGAGAAGCCUCACACAGGUCAGCCCUUCAUCAGGACAGAAGCCUCACCCGGGUCAGCCCUUCAUCAGGACAGAAGCCUCACACAGGUCAGCCCUUCAUCAGGAGAGAAGCCUCACACAGGUCAGCCCUUCGUCAGGACAGAAGCCUCACACAGGUCAGCCCUUCAUCAGGACAGAAGCCUCACACAGGUCAGCCCUUCGUCAGGACAGAAGCCUCACACAGGUCAGCCCUUCGUCAGGACAGAAGCCUCACACGGGUCAGCCCUUCGUCAGGACAGAAGCCUCACACAGGUCAGCCCUUCAUCAGGACAGAAGCCUCACACAGGUCAGCCCUUCGUCAGGACAGAAGCCUCACCCGGGUCAGCCCUUCAUCAGGACAGAAGCCUCACACAGGUCAGCCCUUCAUCAGGACAGAAGCCUCACCCGGGUCAGC